rnacentral:rRNA from 1 species
GACGAACGCUGGCGGCGUGCUUAACACAUGCAAGUCGAACGGAAAGGCCCUGCUUUUGUGGGGUGCUCGAUUGGCGAACGGGUGAGUAACACGUGAGUAACCUGCCCUUGACUUUGUGAUAACUUCAGGAAACUGGGGCUAAUACCGGAUAGGAGCUCCUGCUGCAUGGUGGGGGUUGGAAAAUUUCGGCGGUUGGGGCUCGACUCGCGGCUUAUCAGCUUGUUGGUCGGGUAGUGGCUUUCCAAGGCUUUGACGGGUAGCCGGCCUUAGAGGGUGAACGGGCACCUGGGGACUGCGAGACGGACCAGACGCCUACGGGAGGCAGCAGUGGGGAAUAUUGCAGAACGGGCGGAAGUGUGAGGUAGCAACGCCGGGUGCGGAAUGACGGCCUUCGGGUGGUAAACCGCUUUCGCAGGUGCCGAAGCGGGAGUGACGGUAAUGGGUCAAGAAGCACCGGCUAACUACGUG